rnacentral:rRNA from 1 species
UACAGAGGUCCCAAGCGUUGUUCGGAUUUACUGGGCGUAAAGGGUGCGUAGGCGGACCUUUAAGUGAGAUGUGAAAUCCCCGAGCUUAACUUGGGGGCUGCAUUUCAAACUGGAGGUCUAGAGUGCAGGAGAGGAGAGUGGAAUUCCUAGUGUAGCGGUGAAAUGCGUAGAGAUUAGGAAGAACACCAGUGGCGAAGGCGACUCUCUGGACUGUAACUGACGCUGAGGCACGAAAGCGUGGGGAGCAAACAGG